GACGAACGCUGGCGGCGGGCUUAACACAUGCAAGUCGAACGGAAAGGCCCUGCUUUUUUGGGGUGCUCGGGUGGCGAACGGGUAAGUAACACGUGAGUAACCUGCCCUUGACUUUGGGAUAACUUCAGGAAACUGGGGCUAAUACCGGAUAGGAGCCCCUCCUGCAGGGUGGGGGUGGGAAAUUUUCGGCGGUUGGGGAUGGACUCGCGGCUUAUCAGCUUGUUGGUGGGGUAGUGGCUUACCAAGGCUUUGACGGGUAGCCGGCCUGAGAGGGUGACCGGCCACAUUGGGACUGAGAUACGGCCCAGACUCCUACGGGAGGCAGCAGUGGGGAAUAUUGCACAAUGGGCGGAAGCCUGAUGCAGCAACGCCGCGUGCGGGAUGACGGCCUUCGGGUUGUAAACCGCUUUCGCCUGUGACGAAGCGUGAGUGACGGUAAUGGGUAAAGAAGCACCGGCUAACUACGUG
rnacentral:rRNA from 1 species